AAUCAACGCUGGCGGCGUGCCUCAGACAUGCAAGUCGAACGAUUAAAGCUCUCUUCGGAGAGUGCAUAGAGUGGCGCACGGGUGAGUAACACGUAAGUAAUCUACCUUCGAGUGGGAAUAACGUCCGGAAACGGACGCUAAUACCGCAUAAUGCAGCGGCAUCGUAAGAUGACAGUUGUUAAAGAUUUAUCGCUUGAAGAGGAGCUUGCGGCAGAUUAGCUAGUUGGUAAGGUAAUGGCUUACCAAGGCUACGAUCUGUAACCGGUCUUAGAGGACGGUCGGUCACACUGACACUGAAUAACGGGUCAGACUCCUACGGAGGCAGCAGUCGGAAUUUUGGGCAAUGGCGAAAGCCUGACCCAGCAACGCCGCGUGAAGGGAUGAAGUAUUUCGGUAUGUAAACUUCGAAAGAAUAGAA
rnacentral:rRNA from 1 species